CCUACGGGUGGCAGCAGUGAGGAAUAUUGGACAAUGGACGAGAGCCUGAACCAGCGAAGCAGCGUGAAGGAUGACUGCCCUCUGGGUUGUACACUUCUUUUAUAAGGGAAUAAAACGAGGCACGUGUGCCUUUUUGCAUGUACUUUAUGAAUUAGGAUCGGCUAACUUCGUGCCGGUAGCCGCGGUAAUACGGAGGAUCCGUGCGUUAUCCGGAUUUAUUGGGUUUAAAGGGAGCGUAGAUGGGUUGUUAAGUCAGUUGUGAAAGUUUGCGGCUCAACCGUAAAAUUGCAAUUGAUACUGGCAGUCUAGAGUACAGUUGAGGUAGGCGGAAUUCGUGGUGUAGCGGUGAAAUGCUUAGAUAUCACGAAGAACCCCGAUUGCGAAGGCAGCUUACUAGACUGUGACUGACAUUGAUGCUCGAAAGUGUGGGUAUCAAACAGGAUUAGAUACCCUAGUAGUC
rnacentral:rRNA from 1 species